rnacentral:rRNA from 1 species
UACAGAGGGUGCUAGCGUUGUUCGGAAUUAUUGGGCGUAAAGGGCGCGUAGGCGGCCCUGUGUGUCGGGUGUGAAAGCCCACCUCUUAAAGGUGGAAUUGCAUUCGAAACUACAGGGCUGGAGUGUCGGAGAGGAUGGCGGAAUUCCUGGUGUAGAGGUGAAAUUCGUAGAUAUCAGGAGGAACACCGGUGGCGAAGGCGGCCAUCUGGACGACAACGUGACGCUGAGGAGCGAAAGCGUGGGGAGCGAACAGG